rnacentral:piRNA from 1 species
UCCAGGUGAAAAAUGAUGGGAGCUCAGAU